CUUUUCCCGCCGCGGCCGUGCCGCAGCGGGCCGCCAGGUGGCAGCGCUGUCCCAGGGCAGGCGCUGGGCAGGCCGGGCACGGCCACAACGGUAACCCCGCACCCGCGGCGGGGAUUCGUUCUGGGCCUCCAUUUCUGUUCGCGGAGCCGCGGGCUCAGAACGUGCAAAGCAGCGGUCGGGAUUCCUCAGCGCAGAGGGGCUGGAAGAUAACUCGAUGAGUCUACGGCACUGGCCGUACUGUUCUUGAAAUAUGCUUGUUCUGAAGGCAGCACACAGACCAGUUCUGGAGGCCUGGUUUUUAUUUUUAUUUCUUUUUUUUUUUUUUUUUUUUUCCUUUUAGCUUAGAGCUGCAGUUACACACCAGCGAUUUAAUAGUGGGAUUGUUCCUCUGAUAAGCACCAGCUGAAACUGAGGUACUCGACUCACUGUUCUCCGCCUGGCAGAGCUCAGGGACGAACGGCUCUGAGUGCUGACACCACAGCUAAAAGGAAAGCCUACAGUGUGCUUUAUGUCACCUCUGUACGCUUCACUUCUUUCUGACAGAGAUGUGAGACGGAGGUGAGAGACUCCUAAAAUGAACCCAUUCAGUGAAAACUUUGAAACCCCACGCAUCUUUUCAUUAGAAGCCCCCCCCAAAAAUCAAAUGCAUUUACCAGCUCAUACCUACUGCCUGGAUUUCGUAUUAGUCACAAUAUAGUAACAACUAAACCUGUGUUGGAAUGUCACUGUUAUCAUUUCUUUACACCCUGGUGAAACACCCACACUAACAGCAGAUGUACCCUCUUUUGGCUGCAAGUUUUCCCUUACAAGUUGUAGCAUGAUAAGGGAUAUUCGCCUAUUCUAAAUAAGUGCUCAGAAAGUAGAAUACAUUGCUAUGUUACGUUAUCUGAUGUUUGAAUUUCUCCAAUUGCCCCGAUUUGAAAUCCCAAUUUAAGAAAAAAGCAAAUGAGAACAAUUCAUAGCUCAAAGGACUGAGACUUAUGUGACGUAUCUGUAGCCACUGGAUUCAGGCGACAUAUUUUGAAAGUAUCUGUGGUUUCUUUGCAAUUUCGUUAAUCACAGAAUCACAGAAUGGUUUGGAAAGGACCUCAAGGACCAUCCAGCUCCAGCCCCUGCUAUGGGCAGUGCCUCCACCAGCUGAGGCUGCCCAUCUGACCAGGCCUUGAGCACCUCCAGGCAUGGGGCACCACAGCUCUCUGGGCAGCAGUGCCAGGGCCUCACCGUCCUCUGAGUGAGGAAUUUCCUCCUAACAACUAACCUAAAUCUCCAAAUCUCCCCUCUGUUGGUUUGAAACUGCUACACCUUGUCACUAUCCGUCCACGUAACAGGUCUCUUUCCCUCCUGUUUAUCGGCCCCUUCAGGUACUGGAAGGCUGCAGUGAGGUGACCCUGGAGCCUUCUCUUCUCCAGGCUGAACAAGCCCGGCUCCCUCCCUCAGCCUUUCUUCACAGGAGAGGUUAAGCAGCACUUUGCUCCAUAGUGUGUUGAGUUCAUUCUGAAGCAGCAGGUAGCGGUAGGAUCGCAGCCCUGCAUGCUUUGCUGCUUUUCUUUUUUAUUAAAUACAAAUGCAAAUCAUGAUCGCUAUUUCUGUGAAGUACUAUAAAGCAAUUUGUAUAGUUAUUGUCAAAGAGUAAUUAGAGCAAUAAUCUCCCCUCAUAAAAUGUCCCACGUGCUGAUAGGAUACAUUUUAAACGGUACAAAGCAGGAAACAAGUUUUUCAUCUCCAGGAGCCAGCACCCUUUGCCUUUAAGUUCUCAGCGUCUACUGCAAGAGAUGGCCCAGCAGCUGCGCCUGCGACCAUGCUGCUGGCUGAACACCCACACCAAACCAAACGAAAACCCAAACUUUUAUCUCAGCUAAACCUUACGGUAGAAACUCUUGACUAUUCCAUGAGACGGACCACACAUGCAUCCUGAAGCACAGCAUUUUAUUUUCACUUUCAGUGCAACUCAACGGCAUGCAGAGGUCAGGAUAAGAAAAAGAUCACGCAUUUGUAAACCUAGGAGUGUCUGAGAGACCGCUGGAGUGAACUGUACUACCAGCAGUGUGUGCCUACUUCCUCUUGAAAGUCAUUCUUAAGGGCUGGGCAGCAAUUUCUGCUACAUUCUUGAUAAAGUACCACCUAAUGUGCCUCAUUCACUACUUCUGACUAUAUCCAAUCCUACGUUCUAAAAACUCACACAUCUUUAAAAGAUGAAAAAGAGACAGUAUGAAGUGCAGGCAAGAGGCAGCACACAUCUGAUGCACUUUUCCCUAGUUCCACUCCUAAACUCCUGUCAGACUUUUCUUCACGCUCAUGUCACUGUCAGAUUUUGCUGAUUUUAUGAAUAAAUCAUUAAAAUGCUGAACAACCCUAUUUGUAAGCUGAGUGCUGCAGAGUCAUUACUAAGAACGGCUGUCCUCUGUGACUCAGUUCACUGCUCUUUAAACACUUUUUAAAUCAAGACAAGCCUUUUCUUAGUAGUUCAGGGCUAUUUAAUGUUUUUAAAUGUGAUUUUUUUUUUUUUUUUGUUAAAUCUGAUAAAUACAGCUUGCUGGGCUCCCUCUGUCUCCCAGUGUACUGUACUGAGAAAGCAUUCAUUCUACAAUGUUAAAGUUUGUCUCUCGUUCAGAACUCGCUUUGCUUUGACUUCAGAGAUAGUUUAUUCAGCUGAAAUCAUCAGUAGGAAAUCAGCCCGUCAGAAAAUCUCAGUCACAGAGCACCCUCUGAGCCGGCUUUGUGCAUCUGAAUCAUGCCACCACCACCUUACUACUCGCAUGUUCCCAUGUCUGCCAGGCUCUGCACGACAAACGAGCCUUGCAGUCUCCUCUGCGGUGUGGGCUCCCCCCGUAACUCCAGGGAACUCCUUUGAGUCAUAAAAAUGUACGUAUAAGUUUGUGAUUUUCCUGUCUCUGCCGCUGGCUUUCUCUAAGGAUUUAUAACAUGAAGGUGUCACUGCUCAGAGUUUACCUUGGAAUGCUUAACCUCCGUCUAUAAGCAGAGGGCUUAAUAUACUAUGCAGCAGUACAUGGAAUCAUAGAAUCGUCCAGUCUGGAAGGAAGCCAUAAAGGAUGUGUGGUCCAACUGCACUGCAAUAAACAGGGGCACCUACAGCUCCAUCAAGUUGCUCAGAGCUCCAUCCAGCCUGGCCUUGAAUGGGCUCCAGGAGCAUCAUCGUGGUGUAACAAAGCAUGAACGGCUGUGGCUUAUUCCCACAGCAGGAGGCUGGCAAAAGCUACCCAUAUAAUGGAGCAAUUUAACCAUACUGGACUUUGUAAUGAUGCAUCUACGAGUGCUGAAAAACAAAACUUCCUUUUUUCUUUUCCUCAUCACGCAUCGGAGUGAAAUAUGGCAACAGCAAAAUGACACUCUUUUACUUCAUUUCACACACAACAGUCUGCUGCUUUAGGUGAGAAAAACAACUGCAUGUGAACACUCAAGGCAACACCAUGCCUUUGUAGCAGCAGAAUCAAGGUCUGAGAGAGUAGAAGGAUCAAGGUCUGAGAGCAGAACUUUGUCACCUGCACCUUCACAUACUCUCUGCUGCAUGUAAGGUUUUCAACAGCCACUGUUUAAAUAAUAAAUCUCUUGCCCCACCCAGGAUCAUUAAUUUGAACUGUCAACAAUCUAGUUUCCUUUCUGGUAGCCCCUCCCUCUUUUUCCUUUUCUUUUUUGGUACAUUCUGUAGGACUCCUAGCUCAUGGCAUUUCAUUUUGCAUCCUCGGCCUUUCUCUAGCUGCUCCUCCAAGGGAUGAGGUUUUGGCUUUUUUUCUAAAGCCCUACUGCUGGGGCUUGGCACCCCGUGACCUGAUUCCCCCAGUGUUGCAUGUCAGCUUACCCAUGAGGUUUCUGCUGCUGUGCUGCGUAACAGGCUGCGUGUGGUUCCUCGAUUGAGCACACGCGUGCCUCAUAAGCAGCCCGCGCACAGCUCGAGCGGCACGUUUCCAUUUCCUUUACAUGACAAGCAGCAAACAGACAGCAAAGUGCCCAGCUAUGCCACAGCAUGACAUGAAAUGAUAGCGCUGCAGGAGGAGAGACAGUGCUGGGCGACAGCUGCCGGUGCUCCAGCACAGCUACACUCCACUGGCUCCUGUUUAUCUCAGUAAUGUGGCAAAACUGGCCUGACCCCUGCAACUACACCCUACUCUUAAUAGGAGGAUGGACUCGUUGACCUCUCCAAGUUCUCUGCAGAUGUAUUUCUCCGAACUUCCUUACUAUGCUGUGGCAUGGCUGUUUCGCAUCCCCUGAUGGCCAUUCAUACAUCACACAUGUUGCAAACCCUCUGUGACAUAGAGACUGUGGAAUAGCUCCUACCCAAACCAAACUCCCCCAAAGCAAUCCAUCUUCCAACACCGCUUUAUGUCUAACAACAACUCCUUGGCUCCCUAAACUGUGUUUUGGAAGGUGGCAAGUAUGGCAAGCCAACUGUUUGUUUAACAUUUCUAUGCCAGGAGGGGAGAGAAGUUCGCCAAGCUGGAUUACGGUGGGUGGCAAAUGAGAACUGAGCCUUGAGCUGAUGGAUUUUUUUGUCUUCCUUGGAGAUAAGGCGGAGGAACAGAAGAAAGUAGGAGCCGCAGGUUCAAGUCAAUGGCAGUAAUUGUACCAGCUGUUGCAGAAAAUUAGCAAACGGUUAGAGGCACAGAAGAGGAGGAGAAAAGACUCAGCAAUAUAGAUGAUGGAAAGAAGUAGGGCUGCAAAAUGUUACUCACCACCAGAGGAAUGGAGCAGAUGAGCACCACCAGGGAAGUGGCAAUGAGCAGAAUAACCAUCUGGAUCUCUGCUCCAGCCAUCCGACGGAAGCUCCGGCGUCUGCGAAAGUCAGAUAAGCGGCUGGAGGUGGUGUCUGUCCCCAGCGAUGUGCGCCGCAUGAACUGGCGGUGCAUGCGAAUGAGGGCCACGCAGACCAGGAUGUUGCAGAUCACCGUAACCAUGAUCAGGAAGGAGCUGAAGCCGGCAUACAUGUAUGAGUACGCUGCAUGAGUGGCCUUCUCUGCUCGCCAGUCUAUGAAACACCAGGUGUCAGGGUACUGCAAGGUUGAUUUGCUGAGCCCCAUGCUGGGGAGGGCACAGAACAGCACGUUGGAAGCAUAGAUGGCAAAGAGCGUGAGCCCUGCCAGCUUCUUAUCUACGUAAUGGUUGUAGAAAUAGGCAUGGUUGAUGGCCAGGUACCUUUCUAUAGACAUGGCACAGAUAAUGCUGAGUCCAGAGAGUCCAAAGAAGAGGAGGAUGAAGGAGCUGUACUCACACAGCGCCGGUCCUCCCGGCCAGCGAUUCUGCAGCAGGGGUGUGGAGGCUGUUUGUUUUGUUGUGUCUGGCAGUUGAUGGCCAUGGUGGAAGCAGACAGAACCCAGCAAGUCCUUAACUAACAGGUCCUACUGAUGCCUAGCUCUUCUGAUUUUCCAAAUGAGAGACUUGAAGAGUGAAGUUUCUUUCCAAGGAUCCUUACUGUAAAUGCAUGAUGAUGUUUAUGUGCUAGAAAUUUCAACAAAGUGACAGACUUUUUCCGUUUUUUUUCUUUCCUUUACAUGUGAUAACAGAGCCCAGGAGUCUGUUAACAGCCGUUUUCUGUAGUUGUGAAGAAAGAACUGAGGUUGUUUGUUUGUGUUUGGAAGUUGAAACUUGUAUCUAGUGUUAAAACUAUAUGCAACUUUGAUGAAGUCAGCAGGCUUAGUAUUUUUGCAGCCAGAUUAAGAGUCAGGGAUGUGGCUCAGUUCAUAAUAUGACUGUACCAUUCCAUUCCUUGUUUUCCUACUUGACUUUGGUGUUCUUCAAUAUCUAUUUGAAAAAUAAAACAAAGUUUCUUUGGAAAAAUCUGCUACCUCUACAAACUGAAUUUUCUGUUUCUGUUCUGGUUAAGCACUCCAAGAAGAUUGUCAAUAGUCUCUAGUUGACAUGUUUCCUUCUGGACCAUCUUUGGAAAGAAGGCAGAGUCUGCAGCAUGAAGGCUGGCCUUGCAUGUGAUUGGAAUCUAGAUGGGAGUCAUGAUCAGCUCAAAAAUUUAAUGAAGUUUCUUCUUGUACCAUCCUGCCUACUGUGGGCUGGCUUGAAAGUAUUUCCAGCUUUCAAGACAAGUAGUUUAUUGAAAAUUAAUGCCUUCUCUUUACUUCCAUGGAAACUACAACAGAUACAAAGCAAAAAAAUAACACUGUUUGAUAGAGCAAAUUCUCGGCUACAGAACACUAUUUUUCAGCAUAAUUUCUACCAUUAGCUCUGCAGUUUCACCAGUGAUGAAUUGCCUGCAUUUUGCACUCAUUAAAAUUUGCAGAGCCAUCCAGAACGUGUCUUUUAUGUCACUGUUACUGCUACUAAAACACAACACCCACUGCCUCGCUGUGCUCGCAUCCACUGUCUCCAUCAGCUUUCAGGAAGCACUGAUGAAUGUCAGUGGGUGCCAUUUUUUCCAAGUGCAGGAAUUCUGUGGCACAACUUUGCUUCAUCCGUGCUUCCAUGUCAGAUGCCAUUUCAUCAGAGUGCCCCUCUGUUGCUAUCUGUCACGCAGUAACAAAAAGUAACAGGAUAUUGGUGGAAAGGUUCAACCUCUACUGCCACACCACCACCAUCUGCCUUUGACAUUGUGGGCCAACACAAUAAAAAUGGGAGGCAUUAUUUUUGGAGCAGUGCUAGUAAAUUAGCAAUAAAUAGUGCUAUGCUGUGGCUUUUUCCUAAUAAACACUGUGGCUGAACUCUUUGGGAAAUGGUUUUUUUGUGGGUUUUUUUGUUUGUUUGUUUGUUUUCUUCUUUUUUUUAAGUACUUGCCAUUACAGUUAUUCAGGAGGUUUUCCUACAUGUAACUCCUGUAUGUAAUCUAAUCUUGCAUGGUGUGAAUUAUAUCACAUUGAGCUUUGAAUUCUGAAAGAUUCCAGGACUAAGAAAAAUAACACAAACCAACAAGCUACUGGAUGCUAUGUAAAUCAGCAGCUUGUUACUUAGGAAAAAAAAAAAAAAAAAAAAGGAAAAAAGAAAUCUAUUUCUGCUCAUUUAAGAAAGGUUAGUUUUGUGGGAAUGAUUCAUGUAUUAAGUGACUCAGUUAUCUAAGAUGACACUUGCUGCAAAAUUAUUGGAGCAAACCCCAGCUCUAGUAAGCCUGCAGCAACAGACAGACUAUGUUUGCAACUGAAUGCUUUCAAGAAUCUCUGUGCAAAGUUAAUAAGGAAAUGUUUUCUUGCCUGUAAGUUCUUUGUUAUUCCAGCAGAGGGUAGUUUAUCCUCUGGGAAGCUAGGUGUGUUGAAGGAAUUGAUUAGGAAAGGUAACUUAAUGAUUCCCAUUUCCUCUUAUUUGAUAUAGAGUAAUAAAAAUUAAUUUCAACUGACUGACCUCAUCAGAUGAACAAACACAGAAAUGUACUGCUAGGCUACAGUCUGUUCUUAGUUUGGAACUGAAAAAGACAGCCAAACUCAACAGCAGUUCCAUUUCUGUUCUGCCACAAAGCACUUCAUUUGCCCUUUAAGAAUUACUGCAGUUUGCUCAUGCUGAGAGCAGUUUCAUUAUCAGCCUAGCGCUUAAGAGCUACUUGACUUUUGUUUGGCAGCUGGUGAAGUAGAUACAACACAAAAGCCUUUUGCACUGAAUGCACAGACUUGUUCCCAUUGAAGAAUAUUUGGCUUGUUGAUUGUUUAUAGUUGCUUAAAAACUCUCUGAGAUCUGGAAUGAUGCAACUAUAUCUGAUCUUACCCCUACUAUCUAAGGCAAGGGUAUCUUACUGGCAGUAGUAAGUCAUAGCAGACAGGUAUUAAAGCCUGCUAUGACGUUAGGAGUUGUUCCACUGGUGGUCAUUUCCAUCUCUUAUUUCUGUUGCUGGAUCCACUGCUACAGCAGCUGAUGCUCAGAAGCACAUACGUUUGUGCACUAAGGUGGUAGUUCACCUUGCACCUGAUCUCUGCUAUAUUGAUAGUGUGUGGUGACUACUGGGGACAGUCUUUGUAAGUUCUCAUUUUCUCUGGUGUUUUAAUUCAAAGCCAUCACCAGGAAGCAGUGCUGUCUGUAAGCUGCUGUAGCUGUCAGUCUCAGACAGGCAAUUUAAUAAGUCAAAUUUAGCUGUAACCCUCUGUGUACCAGAUGUUUUCCCCAUCUUCCAGUUUUGAAUCUACAUUCAGAUAGAAAUUUGAAUCUACAUUCAGUAAAUAGAAAACUCUACUGUUUUCUAUUUACUGUAUAAAAGAACUGUCUGUAAUGAGAAUGAAUGAGGUAGCUAAACUCUAUGUAGAGACAAUACAGAUAUAAUUAAUUACCUUGAUUCCUUUUUUUUUUUUUUUUUUGUUAAACUUCAUGAGGUUGACAUGGGCCUACUUCUCAAGCCUGUCCAGAUCCCUUUGGAUAGCAUCCCUUCCCUCUAGCGUGACAACUGCACCACUCACUUUGGUGUCAUCUGCAAACCUGCUGAAUGUACACUCAAUUCCACUGCGCAUCUCACCUACCGAGAUGCUAAAUAAUACCAGUUCCAGCACUGAUCCCUGAGGAACAACACUUGUCACUGGUCUUCACUUGGACAUUGAGCUGUUGACUGCAACUCUCUCUCUUAGUGCAACCAUACAGCCAGUUCCUUAUCCAGCAAGUGGUCCAUCCAUCAAAUCCAGUUUUUCUCCAAUUUGGCAACCGGGAUAUCAAGUACUUUGCACCAGUCCAGGUAGAUGAUGUGAUUUGCUCUUCCUUUAUCCAUUGACGUUAUAACUCCAUCAUAAAAGACCACCCAGUCUGUCAGGCAUGUCUUACCCUUGGUGAAGCCACGUUGGUUACCACCAAUCACCUUGUCUUUAUUUUCUAUGUGCCUUAGUAGGGCCUUCAGGAGGAUCUGCUCCAUGAUCUCACCAGGCACAGAAGUGAGACUAGCCUGCAGUUCCCUGGAUCUUCUUCUUUUUCCUUCUUGAAAGUGAGGGUCAUUUUCCCUGUUUUCUAAUCAGUGAGAACAAUAGAUAGCAGCUUGAUAACUUCAUGCACCAGUUCCCUUAGAACCUGUGGAUGGAUCUCAUGUACCUGUGGAUGGGUCCCAUGUACUUGUGCACCUUCAGAUUCUUUAGAUACAGUCUUGAACUGGAUCUUCACUUUGUGGGCUGAUGACUCCAGGUCUGAGUUCCUUUCCAAGACCACUGUUGUCUAAACAUGAAGCAGAGAAAGGAAGGUAUUAGAACCAGAGGCAGCUUUUCCAGAGUCACACAAAGGGGUUAGUGCCAGAACUGUGACUUGCCAGUCACUUACGAUCUCAGGUGAUUAUGUUGCCUUUCAAAAUAGAAGUAGCUUUGUCUGGAGGAGACAGGCUCACUUAUUGUUCGUUUAAUGCAUUUACUUUGAACUUUAUACUGUUUUACCGGUAAGCAUUCACAAAAGGCUAAUGUCUGGCUUCUUAAGACUGGAAGCUUUUCACAGAUGGAGAAUGUAUGGCUUAGAAAUUAAUAUACUUUAAAUAGACGUAAGUAACCUUUGAGCCGCUGCCUUCUACAGUAAACAGUUCACCAUUUAUUAAAGGCAUGUAUUAACCUAGUAAUACUUUUCAGGUUUUUAUAAUGAAUCUUCAUACAUAUUUAAAUAUUCUAUCUGCCCAUUACAGCCUUUGUCUUUAGUAGAGUAGCCAGAACAAAAUAGCCUCCAUUUAGAAAUGUAGAUAGAUAAUAGUUUGAAUUAAUGUACAAUUGAAUUCCUCGUGCUUUUUUCUUUACCAGCUGGAAAGCCUCUCACUGUCAGAAAGGCAUUCAGUGUGUUUGACAUUAAGGGUGGCGGAAUGUUUGUGUAAUUAUGAAUGUUAGACUUGCAAACACGCCUUUUGAUUGCAACAGCCUGAACUUCCACAUGUCAAUGGGAAUAUAACUUUUCACGAGAUAAACCUUGGUUUAUGUACCUUGGCAUCGUCACUGUUCAUUUCUAUAUUAUUUCAGUGUGUAUAUCUUUAAAUUGGAUCUGGAUUUUACAUGUACGCACAUUUCAGAUGAGAUGUGGAUAUAAUCUGAAAGAAUUGCCUAAGAACUUGAGGAUGGGACUGAGGAAGUGGAGUGGCUGCAGUCCUUAUCUGAUCUGAGGAGGAGGAAAGGAAUCGAACUGAAGUGGCCAUCAUGUCAUGUGAGGGAUUAUACAUCAGGAAUAUUUGCUAAAAUAUGGAAUGUGAUGAAGGAAGGGCUGUAGAGUGAGAUGGCAGCUUUCUGGAAGACAGCUAGUUUGGCAAGUUGCAUGAUAAGACUGCAAAUGACUGAAGAGUGAAACACAACAAGGCAUAUGGACAAGCAGGACUGGGAAGGCUUGUUUUGUUAAGUGAACUCUCUUUUCUCCAAACUUCACUAUUUGUGUAUCAAAAAGGUUGUGUUGCUUUUUUUUUUCCCCCCCACACCGCUUCCUGGUGACUUUCUGUUGGUUUACAGUCUGUGCGCUCAGUCAGGACUCAUUUUUAAUCUCUGUUGCCUUGUGUGCACCCAGAUCUGUGCUGCCACCAACGUAUUUCCUCCUUCUGGCAAGGACACCUAACUCAGAAGGCACCACACUCACAAAUUAACAGCACAAGUGCUUCAGCUUAAAGUUCUGCAGUGCCUAGGUGGUCAGUAUCUGAAUUAGUCAGUAUCAUUCGGGUUAGCUGUGUAGAAGCACCAAAGGAACAGAGAAUUACAUGGCAAAACUCAGCAAGAUGAAUGGAGAGCUGCUAGAAAUAUACCUGGAAAAGGACUUAAGCUUAGGGAGUGCCUCAAGUUGUGUGAUUGUCUGAGACUCAGAUACCACAGUACCCUUCAGCUUUCCUGAAAUUACCAAUACAGUCUUUUUUUGUUCAAAAUCCCUUACUGUUGUGUUCCUUGCCUGCCACUCCCAGCAUGUGCUAUGCACUAGCUCAGCAGUUAAAUGGCAGCAGACUUGUGCUCAGUUUCUUCCUCUGCCUGAGGGAGCACUAAUCAGUGUCUCUCAUCUUCCAGGAAAGUAUCCUGGCUAUGAAAUACUCUGAAGUGGAAUGGUUGCUGUGUCUCCUUUUGAAGGUGUUUUGCUUUACAUCAAAUAAUUAACUAUUAAUUGGAAGAGCAAGAGAAGAUCAGUUAAUGGAUUAGCUCACACAUCUGGGAGUAUAGUCAUAGUUUGUAAGCCCUAGCUCCAGGGAAUGCUCGUUAUUAGUCUUGCAGUCUGUGUUUAGCCUGGUUUUCUGAGAUCGUCCUUGAUUAGAGUAUCACAGCAGAGGGAAGCAGAGGAAUGUGGAACUGUCCAUAGGUAUGAACAGAAAUGAAAAUCAUUAAAGUUAAGAUGGUACUGGAGAUGUCAGCUAACUUGAGCAAUAGCAGCUGAGUGUGUUGAUAGAUAUUCAGGAUUAAUUAGCAGUAAUAAUUUUAAGUAUCUGAUUUUGGAACACAAGCACCAAAUCUAGUAUCUAAAUCCUCAUUAUGUGCUCAUAUAGCUCUAACCAUGUGUGCCCAUACUGAGAACGUAAGACAUUUUUAAAGUCCCAUGCAAUUUCCUGUGCAGCUAUUAUUGCUUUCAUGCUUUCUAUGUUGUACAAACAUCUUGAACCCUCCUCUUUGUGUCUUCUAUUUUCAUGGCUUCCCAUUUCUAUGUGUGUUGCCACUCACUCUUGCAAGAAUCUGCUAGUUCCUUUUCUUUUCCCCCAGAUUUCAUGUCUAAAAUUGCUCCUUCAAAUAUACUAUUUCCUGUUCUAGUAUCUGUUCUAAACUGAUGAUCUUAGCAAUAUCUUCAGUAGGUUGUUUUUAGCUGUCAUCACUUCCUUAUUGGAGUGUUUUCUGAUAUGAAGUUAACUGACUUAAUGUAUAGCAAUGAUUAUAUUAGUGAUCUUUCUGCUCCCUCUUUGUUUCCUACAGGAAAAAUAAAUCUAUUUUAUCUGGAUUUUUAUUCUUUUUUUUUUUAUUAUUAUUAUUUUAUUGGAGAGUCAUUGUGAAUGUAUCAAGAUUUGAGUCAUAGGAAUGAACCAAAUCAGUUACACUUUUAUCAGUGAUUUAAUGUGGAUGUUAACAUUAACACUUCUCUGUGAACCACAUGUUUUAUCAAAAUCCAGAAAUAGUCAAGAAUACCGAACCAGUUAUGGUAGAUUGCUUUCACUGUCACCAAGCUUUGCUAACUAAAUAGCGUGUUUGGUAAGACUGAUUCAGUAAAUAAGAAAAUCCCAUCAAAACUAAGAAAUUUCUCAAAUAAAGUAUGAGACUUCUCUGAA